UGCUUUUCACAGGCACAAACCAGGAGCUA
rnacentral:piRNA from 1 species